ACCAGGCACCAGGCUGAAGUGCAGUGGCACAAUCUCGGCUCACUGCAACCUCCACUUCCCGGAUUCAAGCAAUUCUUCUGCCUCAUCCUCCCGAGUACCUGGGACUAGAGGUACACUCAAAGGCAGAGGAAAAAACAACUAAAGAAGAAAACUGGAAUUGAAUGAUGACCUAGUCAUUUUCAACCUGUUUCAAAUACCAAAACUGUUCAGCAUUAAAAAACCCACAAAACAUCUGAAUCAGAGAGAACCUGCUGAUAAAAAAAGAUCCAAGAGUCUUGACUAUUCCAAAACAGAAUUUUAGAGCAGGAAAAAAACAAUGAGUGUCACUAAUCUCCAUCAUUUCACUACAGAGGACAAUGAAGCAUAAUGGGUACUGCAGAAUUGACCCCAACUUAAGGCAAUGGGGCUAGACUUUUGCAUGCAUAGGUCAUUGAAUGUAGGCCACCUGGAGGUGGAGGACAAGCAUAACUUCCUGGGUGAGCAACUUUCAGGGCAGCUGUGAGCCAUUGCAGCCAACUCUGAAAUUGAGGGCUGGUGUACCAAUCCAGUAAUGGGACUCUGGGCAGGGCACCAACAGCAUCUUCCACGGAGUCAAAAUUCAAACUCAUGUCUCCAAACUUCUACAGACCUUCUUUACAGUAAGUUGUGUUGUCCAAAGGAUACUUUCCCCUCUCCCCCUUCUCAUUAAACCUUAACCUCUUUUGCUUUCCUCCCUCUCAUUUAUUGUAAUAGUAAGCCAGGCAAAACAAAUCAAACCACAUUUAUUUCCUCCUGCCCGUUUCUUCAGCUGCUCAUCAUUGUGAGAAGCUGUGUUCAGUGUUCCUGAUGACAUCAGGUUACUGCUUCGACAUGCUGCAUUAUUUUGUGUCCUUGAAGAAGUAUGGAUUUUAGGAUUAUGUCAGUAAUGAUAGAUCUAAAAUUCACAUUUACAGCCUAGGUCCCAAUCUCUUACUUCUUUCUUAACAGAAUGCAAGAAAAAAGUAUUUAGAUCAAAUGAAUUCACUUAUAAACAACACACUGAAAAUGCAAAGAUAAUAGAAAUAAAAAGCUGAACCAGAGGGGAAGAUUCAAGUAAUCACACACCUUAAAAAAUAGAAGUCUGUGAAUUCAUGCUGGCAGACCUAAGUAGGUCAACUAAUCGGUUGUUUACUGUGCUGUUGGAUAUGAAGCAUGAUAAACUAAGCAGGGAGGAAAUUGUAUGAGUUCCAUCUCCAUAACAACGAAGAUGAGAACAAUUACAAGAGACCCUUGCCAGCCACCUCCACAAAAGCAGUUUUAACCUCAGAGCAAUGAGGAGUGACAUAGCAAACUACUGCUGAUGUCUGAACAACACAAGGCAUUGAGCCAGCCCUGGUUCCUUAUUCCUUGAAUUUCUUUAGGCAGUACAUUUUCAUUGUAUUGAGCAGCAGAGACUGGACAUCUCCAACUGCAGCCAAAUUCUACAAAUCAUCAAGAAAACAGUUUGCAAAGAAGUGAGAAAAUGUCAUUCAAGAAAACUUUCCUGGCUUGGGUGGACAUAGCCAAAGCAGAUUUGAAUAUCUGUCUUUGCAAUCAAAAUUUAUACCAGGAAGCUCUAAUGAAAAUGGUGUCACUCAACAAAUCUAUAUGUAAAUUCAUUCUAAACAAUUAAUUGCCAACA